CUUCACCGUGCCGAGGCGCAGCGGACGGCUCGCGUCGCGGUCCUGGCCGUAGGUGGCGAGCAGGGCCUGCGCCUC
rnacentral:antisense_RNA from 1 species